UUCAAUUUUAAUAAAAAUUUUUAUUCGAUUUAUUUGUGAAAUAAAUUGAUAGCACGUGAUCUUUUAAUAGACAGUUUUUACCACUUGCAUGUUGAUGCAUGUGUGAAUGUAGUAAACGAGCAAUUAGUGAGUACCGUCGGUCAUAAAUGAUCUAGAGAUGAGGUUAAUCACAAGUAUAUAUGGCACCUUAGACUUGAUCAUAUUGGAGA
rnacentral:lncRNA from 1 species